CGAUCCGAGAGGGGCGGGUCUCUUACCGGCUGGCCCCGCCCCUGAGCUCGCGGGCGCUCAGGCUGGGUAGGCGCGGGAGAGCGGGUGGCGGGCACUGGGCCCUCGCGGGGCGGUGUCACGUGACCUGCGCCGCAGCAGGGACGGGGGCCUGCCGCGGGCUGCGUGCGCGUGCGGCAGGUUGAAGCCCGCUGCUCUUUCCCCCGUCCCCCGGGGCCUGCCCUGCCCUGCGCGAUCGAGGGGUGUGCCUCAAAAAAAGGGGGAGGGGGGCCGUCCCCUGCCCGGCACUGGACCCCUCCUACUAGCAGUCACGGAGAGCGAGCGUGGCUCAGAACGUUCCCAGGGAGAGGGAGGGUUUUGCAACAGCCUCUGGGGGCUUUGUGCAAUUUCCUGUUAAAUUAUAAAUAAACGUGUGGCUUUUAAACAAUGUUCAGUGGGAAUGGAGCUCCUAGGUUAUGUAUGCUGAGGCUCAGGGACAAAAGCUAUGGGAAAAGCACUGCACAGCAGGCGCUGGGGCAGAGGCCGCCUUUCAGAAUUGCUCCCUGGAUUGGCUGUCUCCCGCUUCGUGCUUUGGAGCAACAAGUUAUCCUGGAUAUUUACAGAUAAAUAGGGGUUCUUCCUUCAUCCAUUGCCUUAGUGCCUGUCAGCAUCUCUGCUAAAACCUAGAGAACAUUUUUAUAGAUAAGAUGGGCACAAACCAGCACUCCAGAUCUGAAUAACCUUUGAGAGAGAGUUUGGAACCAGAUCAUACUCUGACCUUGUGUGGAUGACUCUCUAACAAGAUAGAAGGCACUACCUAAACCUAUAUUCAUCAUGGAUAAAUUCAAACACAAUUUCCUCCUCUCCUUUCAUGUGUUGAUAUGAAGGAGUAUCAAUUGGUUUCUUGGGAGACAAAGCAGGAAGAACACCUUUGGGAAGAUCAGGGAUCCAGACCCAGGAUCACAGGACUUGGAUACACCACAAGCUGGGAAGUUUUUUCUGAUGAUGUUAACUUCCUUUUGUUCCUAUUUAUAAACACUAAACUCUGCAGAAAAGAUCUUGUAGACGGUACCUAUGUUUUUCUCUACUAGCCAUUCCAUCGAAUUAUGUGAUCUAAAUCAGAGUCGCAUGUAUGCAUUUCAGGGAAGAAUUUGGCUCUCUUUCAUUGGUUUUUAUUGAAUGGAUAUUAAAUCUCCAGCUGAUCUGAGUGUCUUAUGUUUGAAAAACUUGAUCAGAUAUAUGAGAAAAAAAACCUAUGUGCACAGAAUAUAACCAGAUAUCUGCAAACUGUAAUAGCAAAGGUUAAUAUAUAUAUAAAAAAAGACAACUUACUAUUCCACAACCAAAGAUGUCAAUUUUUUGUGUUAGCUGUCCAUGCCUGACAAAAUCUUCUGGCAGGUAAGUGAGGGAAGCUUGUAAAACUUUGGUUUUCAUCACAGCAUAGUCUGAUUUUUUUUCCACAGAAUACAGUCGGAGACCGGAAUGUCCAAGUUUUGGUGUGAAGUUUUCAUCCAGCAAAACAUUGGAGCUGCAUAAAGUAAGACAAAUACCAAUAGUGAUCAAUCCAUUCACACCGGAAUGUAGAGUCUUAUGGACUCCAGGAUGAGAGUCCUAUAUGGAUAUCCCCUGAAGUUAGAAAAUUCACAUCCAGGAUUCCUCUCAGCCCUGUCUGUGAUAUGUUGACAUCCCUACUGAGUUCAUUUUCUACUCCACAAUUUCUCUUCCAUGAUAGCAAAAUAAACACGGGUUGUGUGAAAUUGUGACUGCUCUUCUACAUGAUCAGUCCCUAGGUUUUUCACAAUUCAGUUUUGGUAGUUUUGCUGUUGUGAGAAAUUUUGCACAAUGGGGGAAUUUGCAUUGAACACAGUUGAAAAUGUGAAUUUUGUUGUACGUACAGACUCGGCUUACAAAAAAGGCUUAGUCUGGAUUAAAAUGUCGCUCAUUUUUGGGAGAAGUUUCACUCCUUUGCCUCAAAAAUGGGUCCUCCUUCACUGAAAAAUGUCCUAUUUCCAAGUGAAACAUUCUUAAACUUGUUGUGACUUUUUUGUGAAAGGGCAAUUUUAGAGUUCACAAGGAAAUGUAAAUAAGCUCAGUUGUGGAGUGAUUUCAGUUACAUUGCUAAAGUUUCACACAGCUAUAAAAUAAACAUUUUAACCAUCUA